rnacentral:rRNA from 1 species
UACGAAGGGGGCUAGCGUUGUUCGGAAUCACUGGGCGUAAAGCGCACGUAGGCGGACCUAUAAGUCAGGGGUGAAAUCCCGGGGCUCAACCUCGGAACUGCCUUUGAUACUGUGGGUCUCGAGACCGGAAGAGGUGAGUGGAAUUCCUAGUGUAGAGGUGAAAUUCGUAGAUAUUAGGAAGAACACCAGUGGCGAAGGCGGCUCACUGGUCCGGUUCUGACGCUGAGGUGCGAAAGCGUGGGGAGCAAACAGG